CUUAGGGAGAGGAGGAACAUCCAUGGCCCGGUAAUUGUGACUCGACCCGUCCGAAGCAACCAGAUCGUUAAGGCUAACGAUCUGCGGAGGGGUCUGCUCCGAUCCUCCUCGGGGAUGGGGAAGGAACAGAGCUUUGUCACUGAGGUCAUCGAGGCCCACGAGUGCCAGUAGCUCUGUCACGGAAGGACACCCCGAAAACCCUUCCAAGGGUCUGCGGCUGUGAAGCGAGGAGGAGGAGGUGUGGUGUUGCCAGUCACAGUUCUGGCAUAGCACUGAGCUUUCCGUGUCGCAGAACACGGAAGAGGGAGAGUCGUCGCAGGAGUCGCAGAGGAGUGACCUGAAGUGUUUCGAGAAGAGCUGGUUCGUUACGUGGACUUGAUUGUCGCAGGCGAGACAUAGCUUGGCUGAGUCUGCUUUGCAGUAGACGAGAGCCACCGAGGACUCGCAAUAGUCGCAGAUGCGAUGUUGCUGAUGGGAUCCUUCUUCUUUUUCUUCUUUUUCCAUUUGAGGAGACAGUAGGGCACUCUGUUUUCCUGUGGCAGAGAUGAAGAAGGAGAAAGAAAGAAUCUUCAACCUCUAUCUUCCGAUUUUACCCCUCUCCUUUUCUCUGCUGUUAAUAGUCUGUUUUAGUUUUACUAUACUGCUAAUAAUAAUAAAAAGCCCAUAGAAUGGAAUACUACAAUCUCAUUCUGGGCUGCCCUCUGUUAGCAAAACAGGCCCAUUGAUACUCGCCAUGUGCUUCUUCUCCUUCUCCCUGCUUAAUGCCACACCAUUCCAUUAAAUUCCAAUACUCCAUCUUCUCCCUCGCCAAAAGUCGCUGACCUCGUUAAACCCCUAUCAAUGGCAUUGGCUACAUUUGUUUCUUCUUCUCCCUUCCUUUUGACAUUAAUACUAAUUAUGGUCUAGUGCCAUUUCGAUCCUGCCAAGCUUCACGAUGCAUCAUUUCUCAACGCUAAAGGUUAACACUUUCACAUCUCUUCUCCAUUCAUGAAUCGAAGCUAGAGUCUUUAUAUUACUGCUUGUUUCUUCUUUCAUUUGACUGAUCAGUCUCUGAAUCCGUCCAUGGUUGCUUCCUCUCAGGUUUACUGCGUUUGAUUACUCCCACCUCCCAUGCCAGAAACAAGCAUAGACAGUUUACCAGCGCUAGAAAGCAUGUCUUAAUGGAGAUGAUUCUCUUUUCUCACCUAUGACCCUAGUCGAGUUCAUGAUACGAGAUGGCAAGCUCUUGACAAAUGCUCAUUGUCUCCAACAUGAUACGCCUGUUUACUUCUUCUUCUUCUUCUUUUCAACUUUCUUGAUCAAGUUAAAAUUGAGAGAAGGGGAGAUGAUAGAAAGUAGUAUAUGGCUAAGGUUAGUUUUACCAUCUAUCUAUCAUAGUUACUUCCAAUAUAUAUAUAUGUAUGUGUUUUUAAUAUUUGAACCAUCCACCUAAUUCUCUUACAAAGUGCCUUCACAUUUUGUUAUGUACAGGUUUGACCCAAGGGAUUGGACACUAAAAGCUCUCCACAACAUAUGGGGAAAGCUUUCAGCUUCAUUACUCAAUUCAAUAAGGUCUUGACCUGUUCCAAGUUUACUACAUUCUUUCUUCAUAUCUCUAGGAGAUUGAAUUUGAUAGAAAUUUUGGCAUGACAAUGCCCGCCUUUGUGUUGAGAUUAGUGUGUAAUGAGGAAAAUCAUAGCAUGAAUCUUAGAGCAAAGUCAACAUAUUAUAUACAUUUCAAUAGUGAUGAGAAAUGAAAUGCCUGCUGCUCUUACAUUUUACAGAGAAUCUCUGCUUAUCUUUUUAACUAAACCUAAGAUUAUUGCAGAAACAAGUUAAAGCUAGCACUCACUUCAAUAUUCACUCACGGGUCUCUCUACUUGUUUGUUUGUUUGUUUGUUUGUUUUUAAUUAUUUACUUUGCGUUUUUAUUCAGAAAUCAAAACAAAACAAACACUCCGACACCAAAUCAAAACCCGACAAUUCCACAUUUCAUGUGCUCUGCCCCUAGCAAAAGGUACACAACCAAACCAACCAAUCUUGUCUUUUACCACCUCUAUAGCUGUAUACCUUUUAUAAUUCAGUUUCUCAUCCUUUUUAAUCUCUAAAGGUCUCUCAGAAACAGAGAGAGAGAGAGACUCAUUCACAGAAAGAAAAUCAUGGGCGUCUCUCUGUUCGUUGGCCUUACCCUUCUCUCACUCUGUCUGCCCACUUCAACAUCCGAGCUUCUACAGUUUCAGCUCUCCACCAUAUCAGCUGCACCUUCGUUUUUACCCGAAGCGCCUUCUAGUUUCUCAGCUUCACCUCCGGAGGCUACGUCUCCGGAUAUCUCUCCUCUGUUCCCUACUCCGGGUUCGAGCGAAAUGUCUCCUUCUCCGUCAGAAUCUUCUGCCAUGCCGACAAUCCCCUCAAGCCUUAGCCCACCAAACCCAGAUGCUGUGGCUCGUGAUCCUCUGCUUGACACUUCUCCAGUGGGGUCUCCUCUGCCUGCAUCUUCCUCUGUUUCUUUGGUCUCUUCACCACUCUCUCUACUUCUUGUGUUCCCCAUGUUGCUGCUGCUACCUUUCUCCAGAUUCUCUAGUUAAUCACUUAGAAACUGAGAGUAAGGCCCUCUUGACAUCAACCUCUGCCAGAAAAAAAAAAACAAAAACAAUGUAUUUUUCUUGUAAUUUUGAUAUUAUUAUACCUUUUCUAUUAAUUGUUCGUAUGAAAAUUGUAAUUUUGAUAUUAUUAUAAUUUUGAUUGUUUUUGAGGCACAAAACCCAUAAACACGAGAGUUACAAGUAGGAACAACUGCACCAGGCCAAAUGGCAGAAGAGUACAUCAUGAGCAAUUUUCAUACGAACAAUUAAGGGUUUUGUGCCUCAAAAACAAUCAAAAUUGAUCGAUCGAAAUUAUAAAUAAUAAGUAUCUCACAUGUAGAUGUCUGAAACUGUCGCUUGCUUGUUGUGAUUGAACAAAUAAGACAUGCAUAUUAAGUAGGUAGAGGAUAAUUACGAUAAUCCAGGUUACUAUAGAGCAUGAAACUAGAUGUUUCAAUCUUACAUAAAAAGAGAGUGUUGAAUCAAACACAUAAAGAAAGUAUUGUACACAGUGCUCAUGAGGUUACCAUGAUGGCGCAUUUCCAUUGUAGAACAGCUUCCCGAGGAACGUGUAGUCGAGAUGGAAAAAGCUGAGUUUCUUGAGAGACACACUGGGAAGAAGACGUCUCUUGAGACUCAAGUUCUCGUCCUUGAGGGUCUCAACAGUAAGGGAAAGCUGCCUAAUGACCUCUCUCUUCUCUUCGUCCUUCUCUAGCAGCUGUCUUUUCAAAGCAUCAUUCUCUUGGAUGAGCUUCAACCUUUCUUGUUCCAGUUUCUUCGAAGUGGAGGAGGCGGCUUCAACAUCAUCUUCGUCAGGGUCUUCAAUCUCGGAAUGGGGAUCAUCAAGGAGCUCGGAAAGGGAGUGGUCGAUAGGGGAGGAUUUAAGGUGAUGGAAACGGUGGGCUAAGGAACGGUGAGCACGAUAGAAAUCGUGGACGAAGGCGAUAAGCUCAGGACGUUUCUUGUAGUAUGUCUCGGCUCGCUGCGCAAAAGAAUCGGCGUUACCCUCCUCAAUAAGCGACAACAUGGCAUUGGUCUUGGAAUCAAGCUCUGCAAGUGUGGAAUGGAGCCAUUGAGAAUGCUUAGAGGAGGUCGUCGUCGUUGUCUUGUGAUGACUCUCGAACCACCACCAUCUUCUUUUCUCUUCUUCCUCUCCAACCAUUUCUUCUUCACCAAAACACUUAUCUCUCGUAUAGCCUCUCUCCCUUCUUAUCAGUUGGGUGCGAAUAACAGUAAAUCUGUUUUCAAAUUUUGAAUAUCUCUAUGUCCGCCCCCUUCCCCCCCUUUGUAAAUAUACAGAUUCGAAAAUUUACUCUCUUUUUUUUUUAUUUUUUCCAGAUUUCACGGCAAUCAAUACGUAUGUAUAUUAUGGAUCAAACUCGUAGAUUCUCGGUCUCAUAUCAUAAGCCCAUUAACAUAAUCUUUUUCCCUCUCCUUAAUAAAGCCCAUUAUACAGAGGCAGUCUUCAUUGGACGGAGGCAAUUCCAUACAAAUGGGCUUCAGAAGAUUAAUCAAUCAUAAUGCUCAAACUAAACUAAUAGAGUCCAUCCUCUCUGCUUGCUCAAAUAGUUACAUUACAAAUAGCCCCCCACUUCAUGGGGCCCCCAAUUUAAAAAAAAAAACUUAUAUACAUAUAAAUGUAUACUAUAUAAAACAUAAAAAUGUUAAAGAUAUUAAGUAAAACUAUAUUAUUAGAUAAAAUUUAUGAUUAUUCAUUUUAAGAAUAAGCAUUUACAAAAUAAAAUAUAUAAACCUUUUUUUUAUUUUUACUAAAAAUUAGAUAAAAUUUCAAUUUUGUAACGUUAGAUCCGGCUCUGCUUCCGGGCCUUCACCAUUUGCUUUAGCAGCUUCCGACACCAUGUGAAUGAAUCAUUCCUACAUGCUAUCUUGUAUUUGGUUGGAAGAGAAUAUUGUCUUUAGGCCUCAUUGUCUAAGGUGUGUGUGUACAUAGUUUCGGUAGUCUUGGCAAAGUCCCAUACAAAUAGAGAGAGACGCAAAACAUGAGAAGACAGUAGAUUGUACUAGUUCUAACUAUGAUCUCAUCUCUCUGGUGGUUUUUCUUUUUCUUAUACAGCAUAGCAAGUUUGGUUGGUAGUAAUGAUACAUAUAUGUUUCUCCUAGCUCAUAAUAAUACAAAUAAAAAGGACUCAUCUCAUCUCAUAGUAGAUGUACAAGACAUUACAAUCAAAGACCUGUUGCCUGCCUGCUACGAAACUAAGCAAACUCGCUAUCAUCAUCAACAUGAUAUAUUAUGGAUGUGACUUAGCGAAACGUCCCCUGAUUCUUGUCCUGCUUUCUGCACGAACCUUGCGUGAUUCAUAUCUAAUGUGCUUCUCGUACCUGACAUUUUGAUCAAACACCCCCAGUGUCUAAUUCGUGUGUUUCUAAAUUAAGAAUAAGAGAUGAGGAAGGAGUUAGGUCAAGAAGAUAGUUUACCUUCGAGAUUUCUUCUUGGCUUUGUAGCGAGAGAGAGCAGAGUUUCUCUCAAGACUGUUGAUCUCAUGUGUCAACCUUGUCGUAGUAGUACUAGUGGAAACCGGAACCAUCACAGGCGAUGACUCUUGUUGUUGCUGUUGUUGAGUGCUGCAGCCUCUCUGGUUUACAUUAUUAUCAUCUGAAUACGGAUAAUAGUCUUCUUGUUGAUCCUCGAACCAUUUCAGUCCACCCACCUUAAAAAAAAAAAAAUUGAUUUUUUUUAAAAAAAUUGAGAGACCGACCAGCAGAACUGACCAAUAAGAAGAAAACAGAUGUAGAAGAAACAAAUAAUACCUGAGAUUCAAAUGUAGAAGAAAACAGAUCGUCAUCGUUUCCCGGUUCAAGAAAGAGGAAUCCGGUGGUGUCGAGCUCAGCAUCAAGGGUCUCGUAUUUGAGACAACUAGGCUCGGAUCUCGAGAGUUCACGGAGCUGUCUGAUCAUCUCCUCUUUGUGUCUCCCGCAGGUAGCGUGGCGAUUCUACGACAGAGAGAGAGAGAGAGAGAGAGAGAGAAAUAAAUAAAUUUUCAAAAACAGAGGAUUCAUUUCUCUUAAAAGAAACAGUUUUUAUUUUUUUUUAAAGAUAAGCAUCAUGAUAUGUACCUUAGGGAGAGGAGGAACAUCCAUGGCCCGGUAAUUGUGACUCGACCCGUCCGAAGCAACCAGAUCGUUAAGGCUAACGAUCUGCGGAGGGGUCUGCUCCGAUCCUCCUCGGGGAUGGGGAAGGAACAGAGCUUUGUCACUGAGGUCAUCGAGGCCCACGAGUGCCAGUAGCUCUGUCACGGAAGGACACCCCGAAAACCCUUCCAAGGGUCUGCGGCUGUGAAGCGAGGAGGAGGAGGUGUGGUGUUGCCAGUCACAGUUCUGGCAUAGCACUGAGCUUUCCGUGUCGCAGAACACGGAAGAGGGAGAGUCGUCGCAGGAGUCGCAGAGGAGUGACCUGAAGUGUUUCGAGAAGAGCUGGUUCGUUACGUGGACUUGAUUGUCGCAGGCGAGACAUAGCUUGGCUGAGUCUGCUUUGCAGUAGACGAGAGCCACCGAGGACUCGCAAUAGUCGCAGAUGCGAUGAUG
rnacentral:lncRNA from 1 species